GACGAACGCUGGCGGCGUGCUUAACACAUGCAAGUCGAACGGAAAGGCCCUGCUUUUGUGGGGUGCUCGAGUGGCGAACGGGUGAGUAACACGUGAGUAACCUGCCCUUGACUUUGGGAUAACUUCAGGAAACUGGGGCUAAUACCGGAUAGGAGCUCCUGCUGCAUGGUGGGGGUUGGAAAGUUUCGGCGGUUGGGGAUGGACUCGCGGCUUAUCAGCUUGUUGGUGGGGUAGUGGCUUACCAAGGCUUUGACGGGUAGCCGGCCUGAGAGGGUGACCGGCCACAUGGGGACUGAGAGACGGCCCAGACUCCUACGGGAGGCAGCAGGGGGGAAUAUUGCACAAUGGGCGGAAGCCUGAUGCAGCAACGCCGCGUGCGGGAUGACGGCCUUCGGGGGGUAAACCGCUUUCGCCUGUGACGAAGCGUGAGUGACGGUAAUGGGUAAAGAAGCACCGGCUAACUACGUG
rnacentral:rRNA from 1 species